rnacentral:lncRNA from 1 species
GUUAAAUUUGGGGUAUUAGGACAGUCAUAAACCUCAUGAUAGAAUGGAAGAGUUGUUUAAGGCAGAUGCAGUACAUGGAAAAGUCCUUGAUGCCUUCAAACUCUAAGCCAAGAAUAAAUCAAAACAAAAUAUCUGCGGAGAGGACCUAAAUUCCCAGCAACAAUAUCCAUAUUUUGGGCCAGCGUUUCUGCUGUUGAUACUAUCUGGAGUCUUUCCACCCUUGCCAGCAGGUCAUUAAUUUUCUUCACUGGUUUGAAAUCUGCUUCAGAUACAGGUGGGCACCAAUAGAGGCAAGAUUACUGCACGUGAAUGGCCGGGCUAUGAACACUGGAAGAAGAUAUCAAACAAUAGCACCAGGGGCAGAAACAAACAAAUAUGUCUUUUAUAGCCGUGAAUCAGGGCUAGAAAGGAAAGAAGAGGAACUGGGGUAAUUUCCUCCUUUAUUUCCAGGCUGAUCCUAAAUCCAAUUUGACUGCUUUUCUACCAUUCCUCCACCUAGGAAAAGGGAGAAUUCAAGAAGGAUCAAAGGAGAGAAGAAGGGAAGAAUGUUCAAGUUGAAUGCCCCGAAGUAGAUAUCACUCGCUCAGCAUCCCAAGGGAUUUUGAGAGAUUUUUGUGUCCAUCAGUUACUUUCAGGUGGCUGGCAAAGCCAACCAGUGGAAUGAAUUUAAAAUGCUCACAAGUGUGGAAGUCAAGCUGUUGCACAAUGUAAGGGUGGGUAUGGAUACACACAGCAUAGUGCCAUGGGGUAUAAAUAUAAAACAGAAUUUAUUGUGAGGAAAAACUUAGAAGCAGAAAAACACCACACAAGUUCCCCUGAGGUCUCAUUAUUUCACACAAAGAUGUACUUAGGCUGGGAAUGGCUGAACUAGAUGCAACACAGAAAGGGCUCCAACGGAUGGAUCCCAUCCCAUCAUGUUCCUCAUAUUUAAAGGGAAAUAGGGCAGUAGAACAUAUCUAUUCAAGCAUUUAGCAACGGAAACUUCUUGGCUAAGGGAGUGUCCUCAUUAGUUAGGAGAAACCUCUGGAACUCUGGCUGGUACUAGUUUAAUCUUCUAUUGAUCAAGUUCAGCCAUGCUGAGCCCACUCUUUGCUUGCCCACUGAUAUGGGAAAGAAUUGAGUUUCCAAUACCAUCUGGAUUUGUCUUUCCUCACUGGCAGAACGCUUUGGCACAUUCUAGUGCAGUGACAAAACCUUUAAUUUAGAGCACAUCUCAGUCAACAAGGCAGCUGUGAAAACAGCUCCCUGCUCAAAAGGAUGCUGUCCAUAUUCUAUCCACAAGCAGCCUCAGCCAGCAAUGGAAAGCUACCCUGUACAGGUUGGAAGACAGCUCUUGGAAACCCAUUCUAUCUGUCACAGUGAUGCAUCACCUUAUCUCAAGGAUGGAGCUCUGCCAGGACAACCAGUUGCUGAGAGGCAAAGCUCAUCAUUUUGAAAGGCUAGGUGAAGGCAAAUUUAAUUUCCUCCAGGAGAAAAAUGUCAUCACCACCCUUGGUAAGCACAGAGACUUCAGAGUGAAAUUUGGCUACACCUUCACAUAAAGUUGCUCUGGAAGAGAAAGAUGUGAUUUAUGACCAAAGAGCCAACAUUUCCCCCUAGAGGGUUUGUUUCAUUUAUGAAGAAAAAGGGAAAGAUAUUUAAACAAGAGAUUUGGCAGUUUUGUUGAUUAUCAGAAAACCUCCCCUGUCAUUUUGGCUAUAAUAAAAAAAAAAGUAAACUGAAUGAAAAAAACAACUUGUGAUUUCUAUGCCAGCGACUGAGAGGCAGGGGAUUAAUAUCUCCCCAAACAAGAUCCACUCAUGAUGUUUCUGUCCCCAAACAAGAGAACAGUACUUGGCUUCUAGAUACCAGAUUUGAUUUCACUUUUCCUAAUGAGCGUUUAGUUUCUGGUCAACACACACACACAAACACACACACACACACAAUCUUGCAUAAGAUUAGAAUGAUUAAAUAUGUGCCCUUAAGUCAAGGAGCACUUCUUUUUAAUUUUAUUUGGGAACAUCAAAAAUUGUCAUUUUAUGAAGCAGA